AUCCGACGACAGUAAGGGAAAGAAAGAACGGAGAUUUUGGUUUUAAAUCUUCCAAAAUUCAUAACUUGAGCUAGAGACCUCCAAAUCUCUCCGUUCCAAAGCCAAACCUGUGAGAAAUUUCGAGAGGAACCUAUUGGUACCAAUAUUUCUGGGUGGGGUUCACUGUAGAGAGAGAUCUUCUCCCCCAAAGAUUUCGAAUUUCAUGGAAAAGAUAGAUUUUGAUGGAGCUUGAGGCCACGGGAGCUUAGGAACUCAUCUCUCCUUUGUUCUAGAGUGCAUUGUGGUGUGCCUAGAGACUGUGAACGUUUGGAUUCUCGUGGAGCAAGAUAAAUAGCUUGUUCUUCAAGUAAGCAAAUUGUAAAGCUCCAAGAGGAACACAGUUAAUUGAAGAGCCUCAUGGGACCAGGACACUAACCGUGGCUAGAGGUACUAGUAUGAGGAUGUGGAGUUCUGGGUGGUCGGAUGCUACUAUUUGUUUUAGACGUAUUUUUGGAAAAGAUGUAUUGUUGCAUAGUGUUCAUAUUCGAUACAUGUACAUUUAUGUAUUCAGGCAUGAUGAUAUGACUAUGUAGUAUUCAGUUAUGUUAUGUAUUGGAUUGCAUGCUAUUAGAUUUGUGGCACGGAGCCAAGUUCAGCAUGCGCCCAUAGAUGGGUAUCUGAGUAUAUUUGCAUGACUGGUACUUCUGGAAAUAUAUAUUGUUUAAACUGUCUAUCAGGAACUCUUGAGAGUGGGAUUGGAAAGUCCCCAGUUGUCCGAUUUACAGAGGUUACUCUGUUCGAUUUUCGUCUCCGUAAAAUAAGAAUUAAAUUAGAAGAAGUAUGCAAUGUGAUAUGUCAUGUGAAAAAGGAUUAAAGAAAAAGAAAAAGUUAGUUCUUAUUUUCGUAAGUUAAGUCUUCCGCUGUUUCUGUUAAGUAUUAUAUGCAUGUUAAUUGAACCGGCUCGAGGUUGGGGAUGUUACAGAUGUUAUCACAUGCAAUGCCAUUAUGACAUGGCAAGGAGACAUGGAAUUCUUCCAGAAGUUUCUCAAUUAAAGAUGUUCAUUUAUUCCAUUUGUUUCUCAUUCUUUGCUUUGUCUUUAUUUUGACAAGAUAAGUAUUAUAUUUUUGUGCUUCACACCUCUUGAACCAUCAAGAAAUUUCCCAUCUUAGUGACUGAAUUUCAUGAAUAGAGCUGUUCUGUACUGUUGCGUGCUAUUUGAUUCUUUAAUAAUUCUGUCAUCAUUGUAGGCUUAUAGCUACAUGCAUAUGUAUGCACAUGAGCAUGUCUGGUAUUGCAUACGUACUUGUUCAAUGUAGCCUAAAUUAAAGUCUACCCUGAAUUAAAAAA